rnacentral:tRNA from 1 species
ACCCGGUGGCCGGCGGGACGGCCGCGCCGUCGUCGGCGGCGCUGGCGGUGAUCGGGGUCGUCGGCGGCGUGC